UUUGCAGUGUUGAUAUUAUUGCUAAUGCCACCGAUUUGGAGUCAAAUGUUGACACAGAGGUUGUGAGAGAUUCUGUUUCUGUUGAAGUGAGCCUUGAGGAAGAGAUUGGAGAUGGAUCUGAUCCAAAGCCAUCUGCAGUUGUGCUAAAGUUGGCUUUGGGCAAAGGAGUGAGCGGAACAGUCACACGCAGUGUUUUUGAGGUGGAUUAUGUGCCCCUUUGGGGAGUUACAUCUAU
rnacentral:misc_RNA from 1 species